rnacentral:rRNA from 1 species
CCUACGGGUGGCAGCAGUGGGGAAUAUUGGACAAUGGGCGAAAGCCUGAUCCAGCCAUGCCGCGUGUGUGAAGAAGGCCUUCGGGUUGUAAAGCACUUUCAGUGGGGAAGAAAGCCUUGGGGCUAAUACCCUCGAGGAAGGACAUCACCCACAGAAGAAGCACCGGCUAACUCCGUGCCAGCAGCCGCGGUAAUACGGAGGGUGCGAGCGUUAAUCGGAAUUACUGGGCGUAAAGCGCGCGUAGGCGGUCUGAUAAGCCGGUUGUGAAAGCCCCGGGCUCAACCUGGGAACGGCAUCCGGAACUGUCAGGCUAGGGUGCAGGAGAGGAAGGUAGAAUUCCCGGUGUAGCGGUGAAAUGCGUAGAGAUCGGGAGGAAUACCAGUGGCGAAGGCGGCCUUCUGGACUGACACUGACGCUGAGGUGCGAAAGCGUGGGUAGCAAACAGGAUUAGAUACCCUAGUAGU